AUUGAACGCUGGCGGCAUGCCUUACACAUGCAAGUCGAACGGUAACAGGUCUUCGGAUGCUGACGAGUGGCGAACGGGUGAGUAAUACAUCGGAACGCGCCUAGUAGUGGGGGAUAACUACUCGAAAGAGUGGCUAAUACCGCAUGAGAUCUACGGAUGAAAGCAGGGGAUCGCAAGACCUUGUGCUACUAGAGCGGCCGAUGGCAGAUUAGGUAGUUGGUGGGAUAAAAGCUGACCAAGCCGACGAUCUGUAGCUGGUCUGAGAGGACGAUCAGCCACACUGGGACGGAGACACGGCCCAGACUCCUACGGGAGGCAGCAGUGGGGAAUUUUGGACAAUGGGCGCAAGCCUGAUCCAGCAAUGCCGCGUGCAGGAUGAAGGCCUUCGGGUUGUAAACUGCUUUUGUACGGAACGAAAAGCCCUGGGUUAAUACCCUGGGGUCAUGACGGUACCGUAAGAGUAAGCACCGGCUAACUACGUGCCAGCCGCCGCGGUAAAAC
rnacentral:rRNA from 1 species